GUACUCUGCUGGACUGUCCCUGUACACUGUACACUGAACCUGCAAAACUGGGGUUAAGGGAGUGGGAUGAGCUCUAUAGCCCAGUGAGUAGAACAGUAAAACAUCUCAGUAAAAUAUGAUCUCAUGGAAUGCGCCAUAUCACAGACAAGCCACAUCAAGAGUAAACCUGUCACCACAUAGUCCCAGUAACUCUGUGCCAGGGCGUAGAAUCGAGCACCUGGUCUUCCUGUCAUAUAUGUAUAUGUGUAUAUAACACCUGUGAACUUACCAUUGCCAGGGCGUAGUCAAAGGCUCCUGGACUUUGCUAUAUACCUGCCAG
rnacentral:lncRNA from 1 species